rnacentral:rRNA from 1 species
GACGAACGCUGGCGGCGUGCCUAACACAUGCAAGUCGAACGGAGCACUUCGGUGCUUAGUGGCGAACGGGUGAGUAACGCGUGAGAAACCUGCCUUUCAGUGGGGGACAACAGUUGGAAACGACUGCUAAUACCGCAUAAUGUUAUUUGGGGGCAUCCCCGAAUAACCAAAGCUUUAUGUGCUGAAAGAUGGUCUCGCGUCUGAUUAGCUAGAUGGCGGGGUAACGGCCCACCAUGGCGACGAUCAGUAGCCGGUCUGAGAGGAUGAACGGCCACAUUGGGACUGAGAUACGGCCCAGACUCCUACGGGAGGCAGCAGUGGGGAAUAUCGCACAAUGGGCGAAAGCCUGAUGCAGCGACGCCGCGUGAGCGAAGAAGUAUUUCGGUAUGUAAAGCUCUAUCAGCAGGGAAGAAAAUGACGGUACCUGACUAAGAAGCACCGGCUAAAUACGUG